UACGUAGGGGGCGAGCGUUGUCCGGAGUUACUGGGCGUAAAGCGCUUGUAGGCGGUCCACCAAGUUUGGGGUGACAGCUGCCGACUUAAUCGGCAAAGUGCCUCAAAGACUGGCGGACUUGAGGGCCACAGAGGGACAUGGAACUCCAGGUGUAGAGGUGAAAUGCGUAGAUAUCUGGAAGAACACCAAAGGCGAAGGCAGUGUCCUGGGUGGUCGCUGACGCUGAGAGGCGAAAGCCAGGGGAGCGAACGGG
rnacentral:rRNA from 1 species